UCCACGCAUAUUUAAUCCACCAGAUCGAAACCUUCUUGAGAAUUUUAGAGAUUUGGAACUAGAGAUUCAAGUUUUUUUGGGUGGAGCUCAAGAUUUUCAUUUUCGCCAUCUCUUUUUGACCAUUGUUGACCUUGGUUUUUGGGUUUUCUCCUAAAAACCAUUUUGGUCCGAUUUUCUCAAGGAUCUUGACGACUUGCUCGUGGUUUUAAGUUCCUAGAAGCUAAAGUCGUGUUUUGCCAAGCGARGAGUUUUGAUGUUCUCGUUUUGGAGCCGUAGGGUCAAAUCAAGUGAGGAGUUUUCUAAUGUUCUCAGCUUGGCCCCUUUUUGGUUGUGACAAGAGAGAAGUUUUGAGGUUCUCUUCUUGAUAUCAAUGGUUUGGGACAAACUAAGGAGUUUUGAUGUUUUCGCUUUAAAACCUUUGAUUUUAGGCAAGUGACGAGUUUUGAUGUUCUCAUCUUGUAACCUGGGAUUGACUAAGUAAAGAGUUUUGAUGUUCUUAUUUUUGCCUCAAUAAGAGUAAUUACCAAGGGUUGUAUGUC